AAAAAAAGACACCCUGGUUUUCGUGCCUAACGUUUAACCGCCGUCUUAUUUAAAAAAAUUAUGAAAAAAAUUAAAAAGACAAGUCACGCAUAAAAUAUUUAUCAUGUUUUAUCAUCUAACAUUAAUAAAAAUAUGAAUUAUAAAAAAAUUUAUAUAAGACGGAUAGUUAAAGUUGAACACGGAAAAUCAGGGUUUGUCUUUUU
rfam:Oryza sativa (indica cultivar-group) chromosome 2, whole genome shotgun sequence.